rnacentral:rRNA from 1 species
GGAGUUAGCCGGUGCUUCUUCUGUGAGUGAUGUCCUUCCUGCCGGUUAUUGACCCGCAGGCCUUCUUCCUCACUGAAAGUGCUUUACAACCCGAAGGCCUUCUUCACACACGCGGCAUGGCUGGAUCAGGGUUGCCCCCCAUUGUCCAAUAUUCCCCCACUGCUGCCUCCCGUAGGAGUCUGGGCCGUGUCUCAGUCCCAGUGUGGCUGAUCAUCCUCUCAGACCAGCUACGGAUCGUCGCCUUGGUGAGCCGUUACCUCACCAACCAGCUAAUCCGACAUAGGCUCAUCCGAUAGCGCGAGGCCCGAAGGUCCCCCGCUUUCCCCCGUAGGGCGUAUGCGGUAUUAGCCUGGGUUUCCCCAGGUUAUCCCCCACUACCGGGCAGGAUUCCUAUGCAUUACUCACCCGUCCGCCGCUCGCCACCAGGGAGCAAGCUCCCCGUGCUGCCGCUCGACUUGCAUGUGUUAGGCCUGCCGCCAGCGUUCAAUCUGAGCCAGAAUCAAACUCUGA